rnacentral:rRNA from 1 species
GAUGAACGCUGGCGCCGCGCCUAACACAUGCAAGUCGAACGGCACCCCUCUCCGGAGGGAAGCGAGUGGCGAACGGCUGAGUAACACGUGGAGAACCUGCCCCCUCCCCCGGGAUAGCCGCCCGAAAGGACGGGUAAUACCGGAUACCCCGGGGUGCCGCAUGGCACCCCGGCUAAAGCCCCGACGGGAGGGGAUGGCUCCGCGGCCCAUCAGGUAGACGGCGGGGUGACGGCCCACCGUGCCGACAACGGGUAGCCGGGUUGAGAGACCGACCGGCCAGAUUGGGACUGAGACACGGCCCAGACUCCUACGGGAGGCAGCAGUGGGGAAUCUUGCGCAAUGGGGGGAACCCUGACGCAGCGACGCCGCGUGCGGGACGGAGGCCUUCGGGUCGUAAACCGCUUUCAGCAGGGAAGAGUCAAG